rnacentral:rRNA from 1 species
UUCGAGGCAACGCGAAGAACCUUACCUGGUCUUGACAUGCCCGUCAUAGUUUUCCGAAAGGAAUUCGUCAGUUCGGCUGGACGGUGCACAGGUGCUGCAUGGCUGUCGUCAGCUCGUGUCGUGAGAUGUUCGGUUAAGUCCGGCAACGAGCGCAACCCUCGUUUCCAGUUGCCAGCGGGUAAUGCCGGGGGCUCUGGAAAGACAAACCUCUUGUUGAGGUGGGAAGGUGGGGACGACGUCAAGUCAGUAUGGCCCUUACGACCAGGGCUGCACACGUGCUACAAUGCCCGGUACAAUGGGAUGCAAUAUCGCGAGAUUGAGCCAAUCCAUAAAGCCGGGCCCAGUUCGGAUUGGAGUCUGCAACUCGACUCCAUGAAGUUGGAAUCGCUAGUAAUGGCGUAUCAGCAACGACGCCGUGAAUACGUUCCCGGGCCUUGUACACACCGCCCGUCACAUCAUGAAAGCCGGUCCUGCCCGAAGUACAUGAGUCAACCGCAAGGAGACAGUGUCCUAAGGUGGGGCUGGUAAUUGGGAUGAAGUCGUAACAAGUAGCC